CCUACGGGAGGCUGCAGUGAGGAAUAUUGGUCAAUGGGCGGGAGCCUGAACCAGCCAAGCCGCGUGAGGGAAGAAGGUACAGCGUAUCGUAAACCUCUUUUGUCAGGGAACAAAGGCGGGGACUAGUCCCCGGAUGAGGGUACCUGAAGAAAAAGCAUCGGCUAACUCCGUGCCAGCAGCCGCGGUAAUACGGAGGAUGCGAGCGUUAUCCGGAUUUAGUGGGUUUAAAGGGUGCGCAGGCGGCCUGUUAAGUCAGCGGUAAAGGCCCGGGGCGAAACCCCGGCGAGCCGUUGAAACUGGCUGGCUGGAGUUGGAGAGAAGUACGCGGAAUGCGCGGUGUAGCGGUGAAAUGCUUAGAUAUCGCGCAGAACCCCGAUUGCGAAGGCAGCGUACCGGCUCCACACUGACGCUGAGGCACGAAAGCGUGGGUAUCGAACAGGAUUAGAUACCCGAGUAGUC
rnacentral:rRNA from 1 species